CACCAGAAGGGGCUGCAGAGAGGGAAGAUGGGGCUUAACCACAACCCCACCAGCCGGAGGCACUGUGACCUGCGGCCACCAGAGGGCGGCACAGGUGCAUUGGACAGUGGGCGGGUUUCAUGAAUGAUCAACAGUUCUUUAUGUGUCACAUAUACAACCAAAGCUCCUCUAGUAUCUGUAUUACAAUGUAUGCAAAUACACAAUGAAAUAAUUUUAACAUCUAUUACACAUGCAGGCACCACCAUGUUUUGGCACCAAUUCCAAAGUCUGGUCUCCCCGAGCGCACGAAAACCUGGAGCAGUUAAUGAGGGUACACAAAAAAGCUGGAUAAACUCAGCAGGUGCAGUAGCAUCUAAGGAGGGAAGGAAAUAGGCAACGUUUCGGGCCGAAAGCCUUCUUCAGACUGAGGACAGUUAAUGAGGACCAACUUGCCCGACCAUCUUUGUGCCCUGGGGGCCCUUCCUGCAACCAACCUUGAAGGCGUUGGAAUUAUUACCCCGGUUCACCUGGAAACUAUUUCAUUCAUUGGCACGGCACUUCAUUGGCACUUUCUAACUCGUUUUUCUUCAAGACAGCAAAGGAUUGAAAUACCCCACCAGCCAGCAUCAGAGAUCUCCAAAACAUCAACCCAUACAAAGAUGCACUGACUCCAAAAGCAUCUCCAUCUCCACUAGCACGCCCACUACCAUCAUAGUGCUGAGAUGCUCUACCUAGAGCUUUUCAGUGUAUUACAUCCAGAUCCAGACCCUCCCCUAUCGACCCUCGCUCCUCAUCUCCAGCUCCCUCCCGCCAACCGCCGAGACUACGCGUCUGCUGAGCUGGCACCACAGCACGUCAGAAACCCUUCUCAAAUAGUAUGUGUAGGAAGCAACUACAGAUGUUGGUUCACACUGAAGAUAGACACAAGAUGCUGGAGUAACUCAGCGGGUCAGGCAGCAUGUCAGGAGAGAAGAAAUAGGUGUCGCUUCAGGUUGAGACCUUGGCCUACGCAAUGCUGUGGCGGGCUGUCUCGGAGCGGAGAUGGCGUUCCGGCUUUCUGCGGCGGCGACAUCACCAUGGAGGUCCACUGGACUGGAGGGCGGCAUCUCCGUCCUGGAUCGAUCGCCUCAGCGCAGAGGAAGAACAAGGAGGGAAGAGACGGAGACUAAGAUUUUGCCUCCAUCACGAUUUCCAGCAUUUCCUUUCCCUUCAUCGACAAAGCAGCUCACCAAGAUGACUUUUUCAAAUAAUUCCUUGCCAACCUACUCGAGACUGCCAGGUCACGAGCCAGCUUCAUCCAUCUAACUCGUACACAGUGCUAUAAGGCAUCACAGGUCUGCCACUAAUGAGGACGUUCUUCCCAGCAACAGGAUGCUAGUAUUUUCAGGUGGAGAAUGGUCCUUGAUCAUAACACCGAAUGGUGCAAGAUUAAUGGACACACGUUGUGACUAACCUCAUGGUGGUUAAUUCUAGUAAAGUCCAUGAAAUUGAAUCUCGGGCAGUGAAUUUAGAAUUGGCAAGCUAAUACUCCAAACGCCUUUCUAAUGUGAGGAACCAAUUUCCACUGCACUUGUUUAAGAGCAAAGAAUUUAGUUUCCAAGAGAGUAAUGGGCCUGUCUCAUUUAGGGGACGUUUUAGACGACUGCAGGAGACUAUGUAGUCACCACAUGGUCGCCACAUGUUCGCGGGUGGUUGCCGGGGAGUCGCCUUCAUGGUCGUGAGGAGUUCCCGCAUUCUGGGAACUAGUCACGGCCUCAUUAUGGUCGCCGUGAAUUUUUCAACAUGUUGAAAAAUUAGCGGCGACUAGAAUGAAACCGUCAUGGAGAGUAUCAAGAAUUCUCGAGCCGUAGGUGGGUUGCCAGGAGGUCCUAAUGGGUUGACAGGAGGUCAAAGAUUUUCGUAGGUUGUAGCCUACGAGAACUGACCGGUGAAUUUCAUUGGCUCAUUGGGAAAAAAAAGGUAAGCAGUAGUUUUCAGAACCAAGGAUAACCGACCAGUAAUGUUAAAUGUCCGCUGAGCUUCACAGCCGUGAUUCUCUGGCUUCUUAAAAGUUGUCUCCCAUCCUUCUCCCCGCCUCUCCCUCCCUCUUUUAAAGGGCUUACCGUACACUGUGCUUUUGCCGUCUUUUUACAGUGCCAACCUUCCUGUUCAUCGUGGUGUGUGUCUGUUUCACCUUGGCUUUGCACCGUGUGAAUUUUUUAGACAGCGCUCCCCCGCUUGCCCUGUCCCCCUCCUGCAUAACAUGCUGGUGAAGGAAGCGAUGUGUUUGUGUGUGCGUGUGUGUAUUCCAUUCUGACAGUCACUGUUCCAGUUGCCGGUUUUUCAGGCGAUUGCCAGCAACUUGACAGUCUACGGCAGUCUGCUGAAAAAUCGCCUAAGUGGGACAGGCCCAUUAGUCAAUCCACCGAAUUACUCAUUUUUGCGAAGGUCAAACAAUUAUAGUGAAGAAGCAGAAAUAUUUAUGUCAAUAUCCUUCUCAAGAUCCCCAAUCCACUGUUCUCUUUAGAAGAAAGGAUUUGGUUGCUGUAUUAUUACUUACUGCAAUGCACUUGCUAACUUUAAGCAUGACAUUCCCCUGUGGAGAAGACUUCUUGUACAAGGAACUUCCUCCAAUAAAGACAACUGAAAGACACAGCA